UGAUGGUUCUUGGGGGCUGAUAAGUUCUUUGAGGUACACUGGUGCACUGCCAUAGACACACUGAUAGGUCAGGAGGCAGAUCUUAUAUUCCACCCUGAACCUAACAGGAAGCCAGUGGAGUUUAUUGAGGAUGGGAGUAAUGUGUUGAGUUUUGGGCACGCCCAUCAGGAUCCUGGCAGC